GUGUCUUGUGUAAUCCUGAGAACAAAUUCAAGAGAUAGUGUGCUGCAGUCACACACAUCAAAACAUAUGGUUCCUGCCAGCAGGGUCUAUGAUUAUCAGAUUGUCUGUGCGAUGGCUCCAUACAUG